rnacentral:tRNA from 1 species
UGUUCUGUGGCUUAGUUGGUUAAAGCGCCGGUCUAGCGAAUAUAGAAUUUUGGAUUCGAAUUCCACCAGAACGU